rnacentral:rRNA from 1 species
AGAGUUUGAUCCUGGCUCAGAACGAACGCUGGCGGCAGGCCUAACACAUGCAAGUCGAGCGCACUUAUUUCCUUCGGGUUAUAGGCGAGCGGCGGACGGGUUAGUAACGCGUGGGAACGUACCCUUUACUACGGAAUAGCCUUUGGAAACGAAGAGUAAUACCUUAUACGCCCUUCGGGGGAAAGAUUUAUCGGAGAAGGAUCGGCCCGCGUUAGAUUAGAUAGUUGGUGGGGUAAUGGCCUACCAAGUCUACGAUCUAUAGCUGGUUUUAGAGGAUGAUCAGCAACACUGGGACUGAGACACGGCCCAGACUCCUACGGGAGGCAGCAGUGGGGAAUCUUGGACAAUGGGCGCAAGCCUGAUCCAGCCAUGCCGCGUGAGUGAUGAAGGCCUUAGGGUCGUAAAGCUCUUUCGCCAGAGAUGAUAAUGACAGUAUCUGGUAAAGAAACCCCGCUAACU